GGAGCUCCCCAACGACAGACAGUGUCACUUCCGGCGGCCGCGGUGCGCACGCUCGGUUGUCGGCUAAGGCGGGGAAGCACCUUUUUCGGGGGCGCGGUGAAUCACCGCGUGCGCUGGGCCACCUGGGAUAGUCGCGGAGAAUGCGCUGGACAGCGGGGCCGAAACCUAAUCAGUAGCUGAGCUUUGGUGACCGCUUCUGGAGGGGCGCAGAGCGGUGGGAAGAGGCCGCGAGAACCUAGCGCCCGCCCCAGCCGACGUGCGAGACAAAGGCCCCGGCGCGGGGCUCUUCGGGAGGCCGGGAGGUGCCUGUGACAAUGCGAGUCUGCCCUCCACGCUCCCGCACCGCGAUGCCGAGGCCAAAUGGUUAGAGUGGGCCCAGGCGUCAGCAUUUCUGUUUGGCACCCGGGCAGUUGUAGUGCACGUUUUGAGGAACUACUAAAGCCUCACUGUGAUGAAAAAGGCAAACGCUGACUUCACCAAAAUUACUCCCAGGGAGACUUCUGCAUUUGGCUGGAAGGACUAUUUGAGUAAACUGCUGAGGCUGGGGGUUGAAACAUAAUCCUCCUUUAAGGGAGAUCUGUUCCGAUACCGAGUUAGGGACGCUUGUCUGCGCAGAGCUAAGGGAAGAAUGGUCAAAGGCCAAGCUCUGUCCCCAUCACCACGUCACCCUCCCUCACUGUAAUCCUUGACUGUUUCUCUAAAUGAAGAAUUAUUUAGAGAAUACAAAUUAGAAGGGCCGCCAAGUCAGAAUUGCCUGAGCGGUAGCAGUCUUGCCAGCCUCGAAGAAUGUUUAAACAAUAUGCAGAUGACCUAGCACAAAUAAAGAAUGCUAGCAACCGCUGUUAUGUGUGAGUGGUGGAAUUGGGAGGGCCCCUCCCGCAAUCUUCAUCAAAUAGAAUAAGGUUUAGAAUAAAAAUAAUGAAAUACAGUUUUUCAAAAAGAGCAGCGCUUGACUAAUGUUACUGAUGUCAGUCAUGUUACUCAAGGCAGGAAAGAACUCAAACUCUACAUGAUACGGACCCACUGAUUUCAGGGGCUGGCCCUGAUAAUUAAGCAGACAGCCAUUCUUUAAAUUUGUUUUUUGUUGUUGUUUGCUUAUGAUUUUUUUUUUUCUUUUUUUGAGAAGGGGUCUCGCAUUGUCACCCAGGCAGGAAUGCAGUGGUGCGAUAAUGGCUUACUGCAGUCUCACUAUAUUGACCAGUAUGAUUUCGAACUCCUGUCUUCAAGCGAUCUUUACGCCUUGGCCUCCUGAAGUGCUGGGGUUACAGACGUGUGCCGCUAUGCCCUGCGUAAAUAUGUUUAUAUAUUCUACCUCCCAAGAAACAAUUUGAAGACAGCUCUUUCCCCAGCUCCCCUCCUUCCGAUCCAACUCCAACAAGAGCUAACCCUCCCUGGAAGACCUGUAGCAGAACACUUGUUGGCCUGCUGAGACUAGGGGAAGAGAUCAGGACGAUCAGAUCUAUCAUGUUAUAUGGCAUAAGGGCGAAGGAUUCUGAAAGAAAGACUGAGGUUUGCUGGAGGAAGUACUGGUAGUGCCAAGGGCAGGUACAUGACCCUCAGAGCUGCAGAGCCAGGUUAGGAUGAAGGGAAUGUGUGUGUAUGGGGGGCGUGGAGGGAGCCUUCCUUUUGUCUUUACAUGCCUUCCCUUGUGAUGUUCAAAGGAAAGUUAACCUUUUAACUAAUUCUCCCUUCUGCAUAGUAAUUCCUUCUGGAAUUGCCCUAACCUUUUCGCAUUCAGACUUAGGCAUUAAAUAUAGGAGUAAUAAACCAACAUUUGUUGAGUCCCCACUGUGAGUCAGGCACUGGUUCUCACAACAGCCCUUCCAAUACAUGAAUCAGUCACACCUCUCUUGGUUGCCAUUGACAGGAACUCAACUGCUAGGCAGAAGGGAGGAAUGUACUGUUCAUAUGGGCAGACUCCAAGAAGGGGAGGGACUGCUGGGACUACUGGAACGAGAAUGCCUCUCUGCCCCCAUGCCUCAGCUCUGCCUCUCUCUCUGCACGUUGGCUUCAUACUGUUGGACCAGCUUCCUCCAUAUGUCUGGAAACAAGGCCACUGACAGCUCCCAACAUUUCAUCUUCUGCCCCAUCAUCAGAUAGGCGAGUUUCUAGCAGCAAGAAGGACGGCUGUCAAAGUCCAGAGCCUGCCCAAGUGCAGUGGCAUAGUCUCAGCUCACUGCAACCUUUGCCUCCUGGGUUCAAGCAAAGAUUGGAAUGAUGCAACCACAGGCCAAGGAAUGCUGGCAGCCACCAGAAGCUGAAGGACACAAGGAAUGGAUUCUCAGAGCCUCGGCAGGAAAUGUGGCCCUGCCAACACCUUGAUUUCAGACUUCUUAACUCCAGUACUGGAAGGGAAUAAACAUCUGUUGCUUUAAGCCUCCCAGUUUGUGAUAAUUUAUUACAGCAGCCGCAGGAAGCAAAUAAGGAGGGCCUAUUUGGAGGAGGACACCAACCCAGCAGUGGGUUACGAACUAUACAUGCUUACAGCUACCUCAUUCAUCACUAGUCUAGACUUCAGCAUUGACUUCAUCACCGAAAAGGCUGCAGCUGAGCCUAGAGUUUCAGACUUCUGUGCUGCGUAUGGCUACAGUGAUUCUUAGGCCAGCUCCCUAGGUGGCAGAUGAGUAUCUCUCUAAUGGACAAGUCUCUUUAAAUAUACAGUAGGGGCUGGGUGGGGUGGCUCACACCUGUAAUCCUAGCACUUUCGGAGGUUGAGGAGGGAGGAUCACUGGAACCCAGGAGUU